UACGGAGAGUGCAAACGUUGUCCGGAUUUACUGGGCGUAAAGGGCGUGCAGGCGGUCUGUUAAGUGCAGGGUGAAAGCUCCCGGCUCAACUGGGAGAGGUCCUUGCAUACUGGCGGACUUGAGGGGGGUAGAGGAAAGUGGAAUUCCCGGUGUAGUGGUGAUAUGCGUAGAUAUCGGGAGGAACACCUGUGGCGAAGGCGGCUUUCUGGGCCCUACCUGACGCUGAGACGCGAAAGCGUGGGGAGCGAACCGG
rnacentral:rRNA from 1 species